GUGCCCGUCGUCUAAGGGACAAGGCGGUGGUUUCCUAAACCUCCAAUGCCAGUUCGAAUCUGGCCGGGCACUCCA
rnacentral:tRNA from 1 species